UGAAUAUGUAGUGAGUGGAGUUUGGAUCUCAUUAUUGUUGUGAGUGGAAGUUUGUGGACUCUACUUCUAUAAAUGGAAGUAAAACGAUAUCACGGACGGACCGAAAUGACAAAUGUGGAAAUGAUAUUAUUAUAUAAGUAGUUUGAAAAUAAGAGGAUAAUUUUUUUUAUGGAAAUCCCCAAAACGAAAUUUAAGAAUUUUUUUAUUUUUUUAUUUUGUAGACGAAGAGGGAGGAGAUACACAGAGAGGGUAUGUAGUACUACCGUAAGAUAAUAGCUGAGAUAAAACAUUGGAUCUCAUCCAAGAAAUCAUUAGUAUUUAGGUUGGAAGUCGAAAAGCCCAAUUCCACAAGUCAAAAAAGUAAUCAAUUCCUGAAAGAGAAAACUGCAAAUCUGUGAAAGUAACUGUUCAAUUUUAAGGCGCACCACAAUACACAUGCUCC
rnacentral:lncRNA from 1 species